rnacentral:rRNA from 1 species
GGAAGUAAAAGUCGUAACAAGGUUUCCGUAGGUGAACCUGCGGAAGGAUCAUUAUUGAAUUUUGAGGGGGGGGGGGAAGAUGAGGAGUGGAGAUUGUCGCUGGCCUGCCCUGGGCAUGUGCACGUCUUUCUUCUUGUUGACCCUUUCUCACACACACACACCUGUGCACCUAUUGUAGGUCCUUGAAAGAGGAUCUAUGUUUUUUCAUAUCACACCUGUCGUAUGUCUAUAGAAUGUAUUGAAAACCGUAGACCCAUUCAUUUGGGCCGGCGGUCAAUAAAUAAAUUUACAACUUUCAGCAACGGAUCUCUUGGCUCUCGCAUCGAUGAAGAACGCAGCGAAUUGCGAUAAGUAAUGUGAAUUGCAGAUUUUCAGUGAAUCAUCGAAUCUUUGAACGCACCUUGCGCUCCUUGGUAUUCCGAGGAGCAUGCCUGUUUGAGUGUCAUCGAAUUUCUCAAACCCCCAUGUCUUAAUGGCAUUGGGGCUUUGGAUUUGGGGGCUGCUGGCAGCAAAAAGCUGUCAGCUCUCCUGAAAUGCAUUAGCAAAAGGAUGGCAAGUUCCUUGACGUGCACGGCCUUCGACGUGAUAAUGAUCGUCGUGGCUGGAGCGUUGGGACAUGCAUGAAUCAUCCAUGCUGCUUCUAAUCCCCCACUAGCCUCAAGUUUAGUUGCUUUAGCUACUAGUCAGUCGUAAGGCUGAUGAAUGUUGAGUGGGCUAAACUGGGCUUGUUUAUUUCGAAACUUGACCUCAAAUCAGGUAGGACUACCCGCUGAACUUAAGCAUAUCAAUAAGCGGAGG